GUCCGACUCUUCGCGACCCCAUGGACUGCAGCCUACCACGCUCCUUCGUCCAUGAGAUUUUCCAGUUGGCAAUUAUAUCUGAGCACUAAGGUGCCACCAUCACAUUUCUGUGAGACAUCCUGGGAGGGAAGCCAGUCGACGACCACAAAGAAUACUUGAGGAUCUUCAGCAUAACGAGAGGCAUGGCAGAAAACUGCCUUAGUCAAAUCAUCCUGCUGCACCCCUGAAACUCACAGGGUAUAGUGCGGCAAUUAUAUCUUAAUAAAACUGGAAGAAAAAAUAAUUAAAUUUAAAAAAAUUACCUCAAAGCAA